UGAAUACGAGAUGCUACGGCGUCGAAGCAGUGUAUGUCAGACUUCCAAGAAAAGCUCGCAAUGUCAUAAAUAAAGAAUGCCUGUACCAUAACCGACACAGGUGGGUAGGUAGAGUAUACUAAGGGGCGCGAGAUAACUCUCUCUAAGGAACUCGGCAAAAUAACUCCGUAACUUCGGGAGAAGGAGUGCCUUCUUGAAGAAGGUUGCAAUAACAAGAUCCAAGCAACUGUUUAUCAAAAACACAGGUCUCCGCUAAGUCGAAAGACGAUGUAUGGGGGCUGACGCCUGCCCAGUGCCAGAAGGUUAAAGAAGCUGGUUAGCAAUAGCGAAGCUGGUGACUGAAGCCCUGGUGAACGGCGGCCGUAACAAUAACGGUCCUAAGGUAGCGAAAUUCCUUGUCGGGUAAGUUCCGACCCGCACGAAAGGCGUAAUGAUUUGGAUACUGUCUCGGAGAGGGACUCGGUGAAAUAGACUUGUCUGUGAAGAUGCGGACUGCCUGCACCAGGACAGAAAGACCCUAUGAAGCUUUACUGUAACUUGAAAUUGAAAUUGGACUUUAUUUGCGCAGUAUAGGUGGAAGGCGUUGAGAUUACUCUUGCGGGAUUAGUGGAGCCAUCAGUGAGAUACCACUCCUAUAAUGUUAGAUUUCUAACUUUGGAUCAUAAUCUGGUCAAAGAACAGUUUCAGGCGGGCAGUUUGACUGGGGCGGUCGCCUCCCAAAUGGUAACGGAGGCGUACAAAGGUUUCCUCUGAACGGGUAGAAAUCGUAUCUAGAGUGUAAAGGCAUAAGGAAGCUUGACUGUGAGACCUACAAGUCGAGCAGGGACGAAAGUCGGUCUUAGUGAUCUGACGGUGCUGAGUGGAAAGGCCGUCACUCAACGGAUAAAAGUUACUCUAAGGAUAACAGGCUGAUCUCCCCCAAGAGUUCACAUCGACGGGGAGGUUUGGCACCUCGAUGUCGGCUCAUCGCAUCCUGGGGCGGUAGUACGUCCCAAGGGUUGGGCUGUUCGCCCAUGAAAGCGGUACGCGAGCUGGGUUCAGAACGUCGUGAGACAGUUCGGUCCAUAUCCGAUGUAGGCGUUAGAAUAUUGAGAGGAGCCUUCUUUAGUACGAGAGGACCGAGAAGGACAUACCUCUGGUGUACCAGUUAUCGUGCCAACGGUAAACGCUGGGUAGCUAUGUAUGGAGAGGAUAACCGCUGAAAGCAUCUAAGUGGGAAGCCCACCUCAAGAUGAGUAUUCUCAUC
rnacentral:rRNA from 1 species